UACGUAGGGGGCGAGCGUUAUCCGGAUUCACUGGGUGUAAAGGGAGCGUAGACGGCCAUGCAAGCCGGGGGUGAAAGCCCGGGGCCCAACCCCGGGACUGCCCUUGGAACUGCAUGGCUGGAGUGCGGGAGGGGCAGGCGGAAUUCCUGGUGUAGCGGUGAAAUGCGUAGAUAUCAGGAGGAACACCGGCGGCGAAGGCGGCCUGCUGGACCGCGACUGACGUUGAGGCUCGAAAGCGUGGGGAGCGAACAGG
rnacentral:rRNA from 1 species